UUGGCUAUACAGAAAAUCAAGAUAAGUUGUUUGAUUCAGUUUAAAGUCUGGAAAUCAAGGAAUGUAAGCAUCAUAUGUUAGUAAGUAGCAUCUAUAAUAGAAUCCAGAGUAACUAAGAAAAAAAAAUUUGAGUAGCUUGGAGGUCGAUUGUCAUUACGCUCUAUUUGGUCAGUGAAAGGCAAGAGAAUGUUCCGUUGAUGUUCUCAGUUUGAUACAUG
rnacentral:lncRNA from 1 species